rnacentral:tRNA from 1 species
UGGGCCCGUAGCUCAGCGGUAGAGCACCUCCUUUGCAAGGAGGACGCCCUGGGUUCAACUCCCAGCGGGUCCAU